rnacentral:rRNA from 1 species
AUUGAACGCUGGCGGCAGGCCUAACACAUGCAAGUCGAACGAGUGGCGGACGUGUGAGUAAUGUCUGGGAAACUGCCUGAUCGAGGGGGAUAACUACUGGCAACGGUAGCUAAUACCACAUACCAUCUGAUGUGCACAGAUGGGAUUAGCUAGUGGGUGGGGUAAAGGCUCACCCAGGACACGAUCCCUAGCUGGUCUGAGAGGAUGACCAGCCAAACUGGAACUGAGAAACGGUCCAGACACCUCCGGGAGGCAGGAGUGGGGAAUAGUGCAACAUGGGCGCAAGCCUGAUGCAGCCAUGCCGCGUGUAUGAAGAAGGCCUUCGGGUUGUGAAGUACUUUCAGCGGUGAGGCGGUACCCGAAGAAUAAGAACCGGCUAACUCCGUGCCAGCAGACGCGGUAAUAC